UACAGGGGGUGCAAACGUUGCUCGGAAUCAUUGGGCGUAAAGCGCACGUAGGCGGUCUGUUAUGUCGGAUGUGAAAUCCCUCGGCUUAACCGGGGAACUGCGUUUGAUACUGGAUGGCUUGAGUUUGGGAGAGGGAUGCGGAAUUCCAGGUGUAGCGGUGAAAUGCGUAGAUAUCUGGAGGAACACCGGUGGCGAAGGCGGAUCUCUGGGCCAUUACUGACGCUGAGGAGCGAAAGCGUGGGGAGCGAACAGG
rnacentral:rRNA from 1 species